CUGGUACAGGUGUGGGGGCCA
rnacentral:miRNA from 15 species